CCAAUAGCGUAUAUUAAAGUUGUUGCAGUUAAAAAGCUCGUAGUUGAAUUUUAGAACCAAUAUGUUGGUUGUGCCUCGGUACGUACUGGCAUUGUUGGUUUCUCCCUUCUGACGAACUAUGAUGUCAUUAAUUUGGUGUCAUGGGGAAUCAGGACUGUUACUUUGAAAAAAUUAGAGUGUUUAAAGCAGGCUCACGCUUGAAUACAUUAGCAUGGAAUAAUGAAAUAGGACGUUUGAUUCUAUUUUGUUGGUUUCUAGGAUCGACGUAAUGAUUAAUAGGGAUAGUUGGGGGCAUUAGUAUUCAAUUGUCAGAGGUGAAAUUCUUGGAUUUAUUGAAGACUAACUACUGCGAAAGCAUUUGCCAAGGAUGUUUUCAUUAAUCAAGAACGAAAGUUAGGGGAUCGAAGACGAUCAGAUACCGUCGUAGUCUUAACCAUAAACUAUGCCGACUAGGGAUCGGAUGAUGUUAAUUUUUUAAUGACUCAUUCGGCGCCUUACG
rnacentral:rRNA from 1 species